GAUGAAGAACGCAGCGAAAUGCGAUAAGUAAUGUGAAUUGCAGAACUCAGUGAAUCAUCGAAUCUUUGAACGCACAUUGCGCCCGUCAGUAUUCUGGCGGGCAUGCCUGUUCGAGCGUCAUUACGCCCCUCAAGUCCCCUGUGGACUUGGUGUUGGGGAUCGGCGAGGCUGGUUUUCCAGCACAGCCGUCCCUUAAAUUAAUUGGCGGUCUCGCCGUGGCCCUCCUCUGCGCAGUAGUAAAACACUCGCAACAGGAGCCCGGCGCGGUCCACUGCCGUAAAACCCCCCAACUUUUUAUAGUUGACCUCGAAUCAGGUAGGACUACCCGCUGAACUUAAGCAUAUCAAUAAGCGGAGGA
rnacentral:misc_RNA from 1 species